rnacentral:rRNA from 1 species
GUGAGGAAUAUUGCGCAAUGGAGGCAACUCUGACGCAGCCAUGCCGCGUGCAGGAAGAAGGCGCUACGCGUUGUAAACUGCUUUUAACCGGGAAGAAACCCCAGGACGUGUCCUGGGUUGACGGUACCGGAGGAAUAAGCACCGGCUAACUUCGUGCCAGCAGCCGCGGUAAUACGAAGGGUGCAAGCGUUAUCCGGAGUCAUUGGGUUUAAAGGGUGCGUAGGCGGAGCGUUAAGUCAGUGGUGAAAUCCUGCAGCUUAACUGUAGACUUGCCAUUGAUACUGGCGCUCUUGAGUGCGCUUGAAGUGGGCGGAAUGUGCCGUGUAGCGGUGAAAUGCUUAGAUAUGGCACAGAACACCAAUUGCGAAGGCAGCUCACUAAGGCGAUACUGACGCUGAGGCACGAAAGCGUGGGGAUCGAACAGGAUUAGAUACCCGAGUGGUCC